GCCUGAUGCCUGCUCAAGUGGGACAGCACACCAGGCUCAGCCUCCUUCUCAGCAGCUUGUGUGGCAAGGAGAGCCUGGUGUGAGGGCAGAGGGCUGGAAGGAGAGGCUGCCGCCGCACAUCCGCAGGGACAGUGGACUGAGGUGACAAUGUCUCCAGGACAAUUUUUAGCAUUCAGAGUCGACCACUCUGUAAAAUGAAAGCCCAGCAGCCCAACUGUUCCAGAGCUAGCUGUGGGCAUGGGGAGAGUAUGGAGAAGAAUGGGGUACUGCAGGAUGCUUAUCCCAGCAAGUCUUUAUACAGGAGUUAAUGUGGGAUUUCUAAGCAGGAAGACUGGAAGAAUCCUUGUAGAUCAGUCAGUGGAGCAGAGUGUUGUGAACCUCAGUGCAAAGACCCACAAGCUGCAAAUCUAUAGCAAAAGGAAGACUGCAAAGAAUCAUGUCAGCAAAUAAGUGGAGGAGGAAGAUGUGCGAAACAGACAGCCAAGUUCUUACUAGCUCCUUACAGUUACCCAUGAUGCUUUUAAGGGAAAAUACAUUAAUUUAUGAUUUGUUACAUGCACAGGACUGA